GCGGGGAUUUCUCCUGAACUCCACCGCCUCAAGCUGUCGUAGUUGGUGUCGUCCGUGCUGGAUUCGACUGACCUACCAUUGUCUGCUACCGUGAGAGGUUACAAGGUUUCCCGAUCGUCCUAGUUGUGGUGGCCUGGAGCUCAUCCUUGAUCUGCUCUUUUUCCCUUGCAGGUUGGUCCGCUGCGGGUGCUCGUGCUUCUGGUCGAUUCGUCCUGCUGCGUCGGUCUUUGUUCUGUAGGGCCAUGUCUGUUGGUGCCACGAAACGGCCAUGGCACCGCUUGUGUGAGCCACGACGGCGCUACCCGCGCGCCUGCCCAAAAA
rnacentral:rRNA from 1 species